rnacentral:rRNA from 1 species
UGAACGCUAGCGGCAGGCUUAACACAUGCAAGUCGAGGGGCAACGCGAGUAGCAAUACUUGGCGGCGACCGGCGCAAGGGUGCGUAACGCGUGAGCAACAUGCCCGUAUCAGGGGGAUAAUCCAGGGAAACUUGGUCUAAUACCCCAUAGUAAUUUUGUAAGGCAUCUUAUAAGAUUUAAAGCUUUGGUGGAUACGGAUUGGCUCGCGUAACAUUAGCUGGAUGGUAAGGUAACGGCUUACCAUGGCUAUGAUGUCUAGGGGUUCUGAGAGGAAGGUCCCCCACACUGGAACUGAGACACGGUCCAGACUCCUACGGGAGGCAGCAGUGAGGAAUAUUGGACAAUGGAUGGAAAUCUGAUCCAGCCAUGCCGCGUGAAGGAAAGAAGGUCCUAUGGAUUGUAAACUUCUUUUGUAUGGGAGCAAUAAGGCCUACGAGUAGGUUGAUGAGAGUACCAUACGAAUAAGCACCGGCUAACUCCGUGCCAGCAGCUGC